AACUACUUCAACUUGAUCGACAAGAAAGGGGGGAUGGCUAUUCUGCUGAUGAUUUGCGAGGGGCUGAGUGGCUUUGUUUCGACGAUUUGGGAUCUACAAGAGAUGCGUUAUGCUGCCAUUUUUGAUGAUGUUACCUUUCUUGCACUCACAGUUGUCAUGGCUGCAUUAUCCUGCAUCAUUGCUACCAGGAGAUCAUGAAUGUUGCAAAUUCUAUUGUACUUGGUUUGUUCUAAGGUUGGCUCCUUUUGUGUAUAUGAUAUAUAUAGUACCUUCCUAUGCUGUUUACAUUAAUAUUCAAGGAUCAAUAGAAUUAUAAAAAUGGCAUAUUGACAUGGAUCAUUCUCAGAACAAAAAUUGUGCCUUCAAAAUCUUAGACCAUUUAUUUUCUUCUUAUUAUUAUUGACAUAAUGACAUUAUAUAUUGUAGUGCAUCAAGUAUCAAUCUGAACUUGAACAAUUGACUGUGGUUCAUCUUUUGUAACCUUAAAGCUUAGAGUAGCUGAGGAACUGGCGAAAUUGUCUUCAGCUGUAACCUCAUAAUCUCCAUGAAACAAAGAAACAUCUAUAUAUCCUUGAUCAUCAGUUGCUAGUUCCAGAGACCCAGUUUUCCACUCCGCAAUCAGCUU
rnacentral:lncRNA from 1 species